rnacentral:rRNA from 1 species
GACGAACGCUGGCGGCGUGCUUAACACAUGCAAGUCGAACGGAAAGGCCCUGCUUUUGUGGGGUGCUCGAGUGGCGAACGGGUGAGUAACACGUGAGUAACCUGCCAUUGACUUUGGGAUAACUUAAGGAAACUGGGGCUAAUACCGGAUAGGAGCUCCUGCUGCAUGGUGGGGGUUGGAAAGUUUCGGCGGUUGGGGAUGGACUCGCGGCUUAUCAGCUUGUUGGUGGGGUAGUGGCUUACCAAGGCUUUGACGGGUAGCCGGCCUGGGAGGGUGACCGGCCACAUUGGGACUGAGAUACGGCCCAGACUCCUACGGGAGGCAGCAGUGUGGAAUAUUGCAUAAUGGGCGGAAGCCUGAUGCAGCAACGCCGUGUGCGGGAUGACGGCCUUCGGGUUGUAUACCGCUUUCGCCUGUGACGAAGCGUGAGUGACGGUAAUGGGUGAAGAAGCACCGGCUAACUACGUG